rnacentral:rRNA from 1 species
GCGGCGCACGGGUGCGUAACGCGUAUGCAACCUACCUUUUACUGGGAGAUAGCCCGGAGAAAUCUGGAUUAAUACCCCAUAGUACCAGAUUGUCGAAUGACGAUUUGGUUAAAGAUUUAUCGGUAAGAGAUGGGCAUGCGUCUGAUUAGCUAGUUGGCGGGGUAACGGCUCACCAAGGCGACGAUCAGUAGGGGUUCUGAGAGGAAGGUCCCCCACACUGGCACUGAGAUACGGGCCAGACUCCUACGGGAGGCAGCAGUAGGGAAUAUUGGGCAAUGGUCGCAAGACUGACCCAGCCAUGCCGCGUGCAGGAAGACGGCCCUCUGGGUUGUAAACUGCUUUUAUCUGGGAAGAAAAAGUCCAUGCGUGGAAAAUUGCCGGUACCAGAUGAAUAAGCACCGGCUAACUCCGUGCCAGCAGCCGCGGUAAUACGGAGGGUGCAAGCGUUGUCCGGAUUUAUUGGGUUUAAAGGGUGCGUAGGCGGCUGAAUAAGUCAGCGGUGAAAGACUUCAGCUUAACCGGAGCAGUGCCGUUGAUACUGUUUAGCUUGAGUGUUGGAGGGGUA